rnacentral:rRNA from 1 species
UACGUAGGGGGCUAGCGUUGUCCGGAAUCAUUGGGCGUAAAGCGCGUGUGAGGCGGCCCUGACUAAGUCCGCCUGUGAAAGUCCAGGGCUCAACCCUGGGGAUGCCGGUGGAUACUGUCGGGCUAGAGUGCGGAAGAGGCGAGUGGAAUCCUGGUGUAGCGGUGAAAUGCGCAGAUAUCAGGAGGAACACCAAUUGCGAAGGCAGCUCGCUGGGACGUAACUGACGGACUGGAGACGCGAAAGCGUGGGGAGCAAACAGG